GAGCCCAGCGCUGAAUCUCUCGGUCUUAGGCCGCUGAGAACUGUAGCGUAUAGGUGUGACUGUCCUGCUAUAUUGCAUUUCCGAAGUCUCUUUGAUAGGGGCCAACAUCCAGAGAGGGUGCGAGACCUGUACGGAAAGUAGUAUAGUUGGUAUGGUUACUCCUUGGAGUCGGGUUGCUUGAAAGUGCAGCCUAAAGUUGGUGAUAAACUUCAUCUAAGGCUAAAUAUCGACGCGAAAUCGAUAGCAAACAAGUACCGUGAGGGAAAGUUGCAAAGAACUUUGAAGAGAGAGUUCAAGAGAACGUGAAAUCGCUGAAGUGGAACCGGAGAGAGUUAACAUAACUUGGUAGCUAUAUCCUCUAAAGUCGCUUAACUGUGGCUCUGGGGGGUGGACGCUACCUGUUGUUGCACUGACUGCGUUGAUUGUGCUUUCCGAACAGUAUAGUGUUGCCCACUUUGUGGUGUCUUGCUUUCUGGGAGGUUUGUCAUAAUUAACGUAAAGCCAAUUCCCUUUGGAGUCAGUGUGAAAGUUAACCACCUUUCCGACCCGUCUUGAAACACGGACCGAGGAGUGUAAUUUAUACGCGAGUCAAGGGGUGGUGAAAACCCUAGGGGCGGAAUGAAAGUAAAGGCCGGUUAACCGGUUGACAUGGGAUCCGCUCUUCGGAGCGGCGCACCAUGGCCCUGUCUUGUCUGCUUGCAGAUGGGCAGCGGUAGAGCGUAUAGUUUGCGACCCGAAAGAUGGUGAACUAUGCUUGAGCAGGACGAAGCCAGAGGAAACUCUGGUGGAAGUCCGUAUCGGUUCUGACGUGCAAAUCGAUCGAUAGA
rnacentral:rRNA from 1 species